GUUACACUCCCAUGUCACCAGUGAUCCUUUUUUGCUGACAUUUUGAAAAAGUAUUGUGUGUAGUCCCUGUGGCAAGAACAUUAAAGAUAAAGGGGAAACUAUAAACAGAAGAUAUUAUCAACAAAAUAAGAUUUACAGAGGUCAACAAAGCCUAAAUGGUCAGACAUCUUGAUUUUCAUGGUCAUCAUUCACAGAUCAAUACUGAACAGAAAACUUAAAGCUGAUAUUUUUCUCCAUAGUGCGACUUUUUUAUUAAUUUGAAAUGGAACAUGUUUUUUCUUACAUUUAUUUGAAAGAGGAAAUUUCAACAUGAUGACUAUAAACAAAAAGGAGUCAUAUCAUCACGAUCAUUGAUGCACAAGAACUUGAUCAUAUAAAUACAACAAUGUAAUUAUCAAUUGAAAGAUGGAACGAAUGAACAAAAUAUUAGAAUGUUGUUGUCCAAAUAAACUUGCUUUGUUUUCUCAUUUGAAUCUCUCCAUUC